CUCUCUUUUCUCCCCCUAUUUCUCUAUUCUAUUAUCUUUCUCUCUUCUAUUCUUCCUCUACAUCAUUUCUUCUCUGUUAGGGUUUCCCAAACACUAACAUGUUACUUAUAAUUGUUGAAAAUUCCUUGUACCAGGAUCCAAACUGAAGAGUAAUUUGUUUCUCACGAUUUAGAUAUAUUAAAUUCGGAGAGUGUUAUGCAAAUUACAUAUUGAUUCAUUUUAAUAUGGGCUUAUAU
rnacentral:misc_RNA from 1 species